UGGGGAAUUUUGGACAAUGGGCGAAAGCCUGAUCCAGCAAUGCCGCGUGUGUGAAGAAGGCCUUCGGGUUGUAAAGCACUUUUGUCCGGAAAGAAAUCCUUGGGCUCUAAUACAGUCGGGGGAUGACGGUACCGGAAGAAUAAGCACCGGCUAACUACGUGCCAGCAGCCGCGGUAAUACGUAGGGUGCAAGCGUUAAUCGGAAUUACUGGGCGUAAAAGCGUGCGCAGGCGGUUUGCUAAGACCGAUGUGAAAUCCCCGGGCUCAACCUGGGAACUGCAUUGGUGACUGGCAGGCUAGAGUAUGGCAGAGGGGGGUAGAAUUCCACGUGUGAGCAGUGAAAUGCGUAGAGAUGUGGAGGAAUACCGAUGGCGAAGGCAGCCCCCUGGGCCAAAUACUGACGCUCAUGCACGAAAAGCGUGGGGGAGCAAAACAGGAUUAGAUACCCUGGUAGUCCACGCCCU
rnacentral:rRNA from 1 species